rnacentral:rRNA from 1 species
GGGGAAUAUUGCACAAUGGGCGGAAGCCUGAUGCAGCAACGCCGCGUGCGGGAUGACGGCCUUCGGGUUGUAAACCGCUUUCAGCAGGGACGAAGCGUGAGUGACGGUACCUGCAGAAGAAGCACCGGCUAACUACGUGCCAGCAGCCGCGGUGAUACGUAGGGUGCGAGCGUUGUCCGGAUUUAUUGGGCGUAAAGAGCUUGUAGGCGGUUGGUUGCGUCGAAAGUGCAAACUCAGGGCUUAACUCUGAGCCUGCUUUCGAUACGGGCUGACUGGAGGAAGGUAGGGGAGAAUGGAAUUCCCGGUGGAGCGGUGGAAUGCGCAGAUAUCGGGAGGAACACCAGUGGCGAAGGCGGUUCUCUGGACCUUUCCUGACGCUGAGAAGCGAAAGCGUGGGGAGCAAAC